AGGGAGUUCAGACAUGUAGAAGCCCUUACACUACCAUACGUCUAAUCCUUUGUAACAGUUCCUACUAAAUUGUUUUCCUUUUAAUUUCCAGUUAUAAUUUUUCUACUUUAUGCCUUAUCUCAAGAAAAACUUGGUUUUUCAAGUUCCUUUGCACAUGUGCUUGCCUUUUCCUUGCUUCAAUGAUGAAUUCCUGCUUGUUCAAUAUAGCUGAAGUGUUAUAGGGGUUAGCAUCCCUGAUGCAAGAAGAGAAAUGAACAAAGUACUUGGGAUCAGAGAAAGACUAUCUCUUAAAGGCUCCCACAACAUUAUUCCCAUGUUAGAGGUUUUGCUACUUAUCUUCCCUUUGCCUUGGUUAAAUUCUGUCAUUCAACUUUGCAUUCUUAGUUCCUAGCACAUUGCGUAUCCAAUAAAUGCUCUUUAAAUUAGAGGAGUAAUAGGAAACACUAUUUUUAAAAAUGAAUAGGUAUUUUAAUUCUAGUUUCUGUGUGUUUAAUUUUAUUUUCAUAUGGAUUUAAGAAAACAAGCGUUUCCUUAAAUUUUGAGGUUCAGGUAAAUACUUGCUUCAUGAGUAAUUGGGAUUAUUCAGUCACCUGUGUUAUGUGGAAGCAUCAGGAGACAAAUUACUUUGUUCAUUGCCCAGCGAAUCAUAUUACUCUCACUUAGAGGUUCUUUAUGUCCUUAAGGGCUAUGAUUCUGUUUUACCACAAUCUCAUGAAAAGAAGUAUAAUUGUGACUUUUCAAAAAGGAAAUGAGGGCUGGGAGUGUUGCUCAGUUUCAACGCUUGGACCCUGGGUUCAAUCCCUAGUACUACACAACAAAGGAAACGGAAUAUAAUACCUCAGUUUAAGAGGACUGGUGAAGCUGGAUGUGGAAGAAGAAAGGAAGGAAGGGUGACGGCUUAGAGAGCCACUAUCGUUUGGGCACAUAUUCAGAAAAUAAGAAUGUGUUUAUGUACAGCACCACUAUUUUUUAAAACAUCAGUGGAAAUGCUAUGAAUUUGUGUUUUUAGUGUUUUUGAAUUAAACGGUUUCUCACAAGCACAGCGCAAGAUUUAAAAAUAUGUGUACCUUAUAGGUUGUUGAUUGGUUUUGAUAAAUUGAUUUCAUAAAGUGUUGUACAGAGUGCAUUCAAUCUUAAGUGCAUGAAAAUGCUUGUCUCAGC
rnacentral:lncRNA from 1 species